rnacentral:rRNA from 1 species
CCUACGGGUGGCAGCAGUGAGGAAUAUUGGUCAAUGGACGAGAGUCUGAACCAGCCAAGUAGCGUGAAGGAUGACUGCCCUAUGGGUUGUAAACUUCUUUUAUAUGGGAAUAAAAUGUUCCACGUGUGGGAUUUUGUAUGUACCAUAUGAAUAAGGAUCGGCUAACUCCGUGCCAGCAGCCGCGGUAAUACGGAGGAUCCGAGCGUUAUCCGGAUUUAUUGGGUUUAAAGGGAGCGUAGGUGGAUUGUUAAGUCAGUUGUGAAAGUUUGCGGCUCAACUGUAAAAUUGCAGUUGAAACUGGCAGUCUUGAGUACAGUAGAGGUGGGCGGAAUUCGUGGUGUAGCGGUGAAAUGCUUAGAUAUCACGAAGAACUCCGAUUGCGAAGGCAGUUCACUGGACUGCAACUGACACUGAGGCUCGAAAGUGUGGGUAUCAAACAGGAUCAGAUACCCCUGUAGUC